rnacentral:rRNA from 1 species
UACGAAGGGGGCUAGCGUUGCUCGGAAUCACUGGGCGUAAAGCGCACGUAGGCGGAUCUUUAAGUCAGGGGUGAAAUCCUGGAGCUCAACUCCAGAACUGCCUUUGAUACUGGGGAUCUCGAGUCCGGGAGAGGUGAGUGGAACUGCGAGUGUAGAGGUGAAAUUCGUAGAUAUUCGCAAGAACACCAGUGGCGAAGGCGGCUCACUGGCCCGGAACUGACGCUGAGGUGCGAAAGCGUGGGGAGCAAACAGG